ACAUCAAGAUAAAAUGGCCACAAGACCACAGCCAUACAACUCUUAAGCAAGAGUCCUGGGAUUACCCUAAGGCACAUCAGCUGUCAGUCUUGGGGACCGCAUUUCAGAUUCCCUUCACUAGUGGAAAACGGCUUCUCAGGUGCUUCUGAGCUCGUGGCCUGGGUGAUGGGCUUCCACUGAGUCCUUAAAGCCUAACUGACAAGGAUUAAUGUCCCAACAUAUUCACUUUAAAGUGGAGGAGUGCAGCAAACUCAACCUAAUAAAUAACAUCCCUAAGAAACCCUAAGAAAUUUUUGAAAAAUAAGCAUCCCAAAUUGCUAUUUUCAUGAAUGAAAUGGGGGAAAAUGAUGCAAAAUACUAGUGGUUUAAGUGUGGUCAAACUUGGCAUGAUCCCAUGAUAAACAUUUAUAAUUUUAAUGACAUCUAAACUGUAGUAACAACCAAUGAAUUAGUAAAGCUUGAAAUUAUAUAAACUCAAUUUGAUUCAGAGUUUGUCAUGAGCAAUUCUAAUACUUGUGUAUUCUUAAGGAAUUACCUUUCAAUUUUUUUCUUUUAAAUAUGUCAAGCUCUUAAUAAUAUUGACUUUCUUUGACUGUAUCAUCUCUUUAAACCCUUGCAUCAACACUGUGAAGUAAAUAUUUUUAGCCUCAUGAUUAAAGUUAGGCUUAGAGAGGUUAAGUAACUUUCCCAGGGCCAUUCAGUAAAGCACAACUCUUUCAGAAAACUUCUGGAAAUUUUCCAGUUGACUAUAUCUGUUUCCCAGGGAUUUUGAAUCUCAUUAUGUAGGCCUUUUAUGAAGUAUCAAAUCUUUUAAACAAAAAGGUUUUCUUUCUUCAGUUACUUAUUUAUUCAAUUACUUCUAUCUUAUAGGUCCUGGGGACCUAUAGGUGAAAAACUGUCACAAAACAAUGUUUCUUUAGCUUUGAUCCCAUUCUGCAGAGAACUCUGGUUUUCCUCUAGUGUCAGCAAAACAUUUCUGGGAAACACCAGAGGUUUUAUCCUUUGCACUCUGAAUAAAUCCCAUUUGCUACCAUGGAUUGUGUGACAUUUCCUUCCUUUUAAGCUUGGGUUUUCUGCAGUCACUGUGGAUUAGUAAGGAUAAACAAAACUUCCAGAGUAAAUACAACCAAACUUAUAAUGGCUCAGUGAAACAUAAGAUUAUUCAUUUCACCAUAAUAUAGUUCAGAGUGCUUCCAGGUAAAGCAGGCGGCAGGAAGAUAGGGGUUUUCUCCACAAAGUUAUUAAGGGAUUCUAAAUAACAUCAGCUUUGCUAUCUUUAACAUGUGAUUUUUAAGGUCUUCCUGAGGGUCACCUGUCCGAUCGCCUAAAAGAAGAGCAUAUGACUUGAGUACAUGUGAGAAGUGUUCUGGGGUCAGGCCUGGAAAUGGUAGGAUAAUAUCCUCUACAUUUCAUUGGCUAGAUCUCAGUCACAUGACAAACAAUUUCUAGGCCGCCAAAGAAAUAUGAUUUGUCUUGUGCGUCGUAGAAGAGAAGGAAAUGCAUUUUUGGUGGACAGCUAGUACUCUCAGUGAAACUACUCAUGCCCCAAAUUGAAGCCAUGGUACCAGCAUGUAGCAGAGGCAGUCACUGCUACUGCUCAUGUUUAUUUAUAAGACCAAUUCCCCUGCUGACCAUCAUCAGCCAAGACUAGGAUGCCCAUUUCCAAUGAAAAUGUGACAUUCAUGCAUCUAUGUAUGCUGUUGACUUCAUGCCUCUACCAUGUUCGGGUUGUUUUCCGAGGCUUUAAAGAAUCAGAGCUGAGUGGAAAAAUACUUUUUGGAAAACUGAUUUUCCAACUAAGAAACCCAAAGUGAUGGAUUGCUAGAAUAAUGGCUGUAAUAUAUACUGAGAAUACAAAGGAGAAACAUAGGUUUUUCAAGAUGAAUUUGGGUUCUUAAGAAGUGAGUCUGUGUUUUAUUAUUUUUCUGCAUAUAAGAAAAUUUAGACUGUAUUGUUUCUGCACGAAUUCAUAGUAGCCCCUGUCUAACCUAUCCAAUUUUAAUAUGAAACCAUAAACAAUAUAAACAAUAUCAUGGUAAUAAGUUUUUUGUGUUCUCCAGUCCAGAAAGUCUUUGUUGCCAUAACAAGUUUGAUAAUUAUUGAAGCAAAAGUACAAAAGUUUCUCAAAAAUCAUUUAAAUGGUAACAUUUAAAUAUUAAGCACUAGUAAGAAGAAACUAAAACAAAUAUUUAAAUAUCUCCAUUGUUAAUGGUUAUUUUAAAAAAAUUCUUAUCCUCACAACUGGUUGCUUAUUGAUGCCAGUAGCCACAAAAUAGGUAACACUACUAUUAUGCUAAUCUCUUUGAAUACAUUAGUUUAUUUAAUAUUUUUUAUCUUUUACAAUUAUUUCCUACAUCUAGCAAGAUGUCGAGAUUCUAGCUGUAGACUCUUGCCUCUUUCUCCAUUCCUGAGUCUUAAUUCAUAUACAAUUUCUCUCCCUAUGGCCCUCAGAAAUUUUGUUUAGACCCCCAUGUGUUCUUACUCCCCGGCUCCAUCUGCUUUUACACAUUUUUUAAAAUAAGGUGCCUUUGGGCCCUACCAUGGUAUCAUGGUCAUUGCCCCUCAAAAAAAAAAAAAAAAAAA